rnacentral:rRNA from 1 species
CCUACGGGUGGCAGCAGUGGGGAAUAUUGGACAAUGGGCGAAAGCCUGAUCCAGCCAUGCCGCGUGUGUGAAGAAGGCCUUCGGGUUGUAAAGCACUUUCAGUGGGGAAGAAAGCCUUGGGGCUAAUACCCUCGAGGAAGGACAUCACCCACAGAAGAAGCACCGGCUAACUCCGUGCCAGCAGCCGCGGUAAUACGGAGGGUGCGAGCGUUAAUCGGAAUUACUGGGCGUAAAGCGCGCGUAGGCGGUCUGAUAAGCCGGUUGUGAAAGCCCCGGGCUCAACCUGGGAACGGCAUCCGGAACUGUCAGGCUAGAGUGCAGGAGAGGAAGGUAGAAUUCCCGGUGUAGCGGUGAAAUGCGUAGAGAUCGGGAGGAAUACCAGUGGCGAAGGCGGCCUUCUGGACUGACACUGACGCUGAGGUGCGAAAGCGUGGGUAGCAAACAGGAUUAGAUACCCUUGUAGUC